rnacentral:rRNA from 1 species
AACGAACGCUGGCGGCAUGCCUAACACAUGCAAGUCGAACGAGACCUUCGGGUCUAGUGGCGCACGGGUGCGUAACGCGUGGGAAUCUGCCCUGGGGUGCGGAAUAACUCGGAGAAAUCCGUGCUAAUACCGCAUAAUGUCUUCGGACCAAAGAUUUAUCGCCCUGGGAUGAGCCCGCGUAGGAUUAGCUAGUUGGUGGGUAAAGGCCUACCAAGGCGACGAUCCUUAGCUGGUCUGAGAGGAUGAUCAGCCACACUGGGACUGAGACACGGCCCAGACUCCUACGGGAGGCAGCAGUGGGGAAUAUUGGACAAUGGGCGAAAGCCUGAUCCAGCAAUGCCGCGUGAGUGAUGAAGGCCCUAGGGUUGUAAAGCUCUUUACCCGGGAUGAUAAUGACAGUACCGGGAGAAUAAGCUCCGGCUAACUCCGUGCCAGCAGCCGCGGUAAU